rnacentral:misc_RNA from 1 species
AGCAGUUUAAAACUAAAGGGAAAUGGUAUCAACAAUGCCAAAGUGAUUUUUCUAUAAACCCUUGGUUCCACAAAUUCACAUUUGUGGAUCGAAGGCACUUAACAUCUAUUAUUAGAAUGCGAACGGGCCAUUGUCACACACCAGACCAUUUGUUUAAAAUUAAUUGUAGUGAUACUCCUUUUUGUGAAUGUGGACAGAUAGGAAGUAUAACUCAUAUGUUACUUGAAUGCCCAAUUAACAAAACAAAUCAAUUUGACCUGUAUCAGGAACUAGUUAAUAUAGGAAGUCCAACCCCUAUUUCAAUACAAAAUCUCUUACAUAAUAUUAAUGACCAAACCUUAAGAAAGAUCAAUCAAUUUUUAACAAUAUUUCAAAUUAAAAUAUAAAAUAAAAAUAGUUAUUUGAAAAUCAUAUCACAAUGAAUUUAAAGAAGGGAAUAUGGAAAAAUCCAGACCCUUUGAAAAGAGGAUUCCCUUCCAGUUAGUCUAAAUACGAGGACUGGCCAAGUACCUAAGAGGUGGAGGCCAUGAAACUACAAGAAGAAGAAGAAAUGAUAAAAACAAAACAUAAAUAAACAUAAACUUAAAAAAACUACUGUAAAGUAUUUUGGUAAUUUUUAAUUUACAUCAUAUUAUCCUUCCAGUUUUCAGUAUAUAUUUUUUAUAAUACGAGAUAAAAAUAACAAUCAUGUUUAAUCAAACUGAAGUAAAACAAGAGGCAGCUGAGACAACUUGCAAAGGAGAAAUAGAAAUAAUAGAUAAUGAAGUUCUAGAAGAUACCUUUAAAACCGAAAUUAAGGAGGAGCCUAAGACAGAAAGUGCCUGUGAUACAUUUGAUUUUGAUUAUUUAGACGUGAAGAAAUGCCCUAUAAAAGCUGAAAUAGAUGAAGAUGAUGGUUUUCCCCAUGGUUUUCCCUGUGAAGUCUGCUCCGAAUUUUUUUUACAAAGAUCCAUUUUGAAAGAACAUAUGGGACUACACACUGAAGAUAAACCUUUUACAUGUGAAGUUUGCACCAAACAGUUUUUAAGAAAGUUUGAUUUAAAAAGGCAUAUGAGAGUGCAUACCGGUGAAAAACCAUUUGACUGUAAAAUUUGCUCCAAGAGUUUUUCACAAAGAGGCACGUUAGAAGACCAUGUGAGAUUACAUACUGGUGAUAAACCUUUUGCAUGUGAAAUUUGUGCCAAAAAGUUUUCACAAAGUGGCUAUUUAAAGAAACAUAUCAGAAUACACGCUGGAGAAUCUGGAGAUAAACCUUUUACAUGUGAAAUUUGUGCCAAAAAGUUUUCACAAAGUUCCCAUUUAAAAGACCAUAUGAAAAUACAUACUGAAGAUAAGCCUUUUGCGUGUGAAAUUUGCACCAAACAGUUUUUAAGAAAGUUUGAUUUAAAAAGGCAUAUGAGAGUGCAUACCGGUGAAAAACCAUUUGAAUGUGAAAUUUGCUCCAAGAGUUUUUCACAAAGAUGCACGUUAGAAGAACAUGUGAGAUUACAUACUGGCGAUAAACUUUUCUCAUGUGAAAUGUGCUCCAAAAGAUUUUCACAAAGAACCGGGUUAGCAAAACAUAUGAGAGUACAUACUUUCGAUAAACCUUUUGCAAGUUAAAUUUGCUGCAAUCGAAGACCUUCCGCAUUAUCACAAAUGCACCGUGGUACAUGCCCAAUGAAUAGGGGAGAGUUGGACAAAACCGGGUAGGUUGAUAAAACCGGGUACCCCUUAAUUCUUCUAACUGUCUGCUGAUAUCUAUUAGACAAUGUUAAAAUUAGUGUCCCUUUACCACCAACAGUCGUGUGUAUUCAUUUCUACCUCAUCUGAGUAAUCUGUGCCGGAGCAGUAAGACCUCGCCUGUUUUUUGAUGCAGGAAACUCGAUUUUUAAGUUAACUACAACGUGUGGCUUCUUCUGUUGAAGAAGCUAGUAAGAAAGCUAGUAGGAAAAAUUAAAAAAAAAUUUCCAGUCGUAAAUAAAUUAAAACUAAAUGAACUGGACAAAAAAAAAGAAAAAACGUGGUAAAAAGGGCUGCACCAAAAACAAAAUUUUGGAGAGUUUGGAGGAAGAAGAUAAUAAUGACGAUGCGUGUCUAUAUUACAAUUAACUAUUUUCAAAUUAUAAUGCGAAGGAAGGCUGGAUAAAAUGUGUGUCUUGCACCAAAUGGGCUUAUGACGCCUGUAGUGCCUAUGAUGAUGUAAAUGAAGUUUUUAUUUGCGACUUCUCUUCAUAUAUUUUCGAUUUUUGUUCACAUACUUUUAAUAAAUAUUUUAUUUUCUG